UUAACACCGUGCGAAGAAUAAUUCAUUCUCAUUCAAGUUCUUGGUGUUUUUUCCGUACUCUUGGCCCCAAAAAAUGAAACUUUGCACGCUUGUAAUGUUACUAUUCCCGAUUUGCGCAAGUUUGGGUGUGCGUUUGGAAUGUUACACUUGUUCAGACUGCGGCAAAACACCCGAUACUUGGAAUCAAACGACUUGUUCGUUGUUCAGUACAGAACAUUACCUUUGUGAACAUCGAAAAUUUAAUGGCACAGUUGUCAAAUCAUGUAUUUCAAACGUGAAGGAAGAAACGCUUUUGUGUGACAAGAUUAAUAAGAAGAAGAAAAAGGCGGACGAGUUCUGUUUUUACUGCGAGAGAGAUCUUUGCAAUGUUGUUAAUUCGGCUAAAGUUCGUGUGGAAUCCUGUGUUGUUUUGUUGUUUGUUGCUGUUAUAGUAUUUGUUUAUUGAAUAAAUUUGCAUUUUUCGUGUUUCUUGCUAUGCAAACAGACUGAUUCAUGUAAGACGACGCGCCUUCCAAAAGCGUGAACGCAACACAAAAUACACCAAAAUGCUUGCCCAACUACAACACGUUGUGAUCACAAAUAAUAGAAUUCAGUGAUUACUGAUAAGAUUAGGUAACGAUUUUCGAUCCAAUUCUCCGUAUUUUUUUGGCCGUACUGUUAUUCCCAAAAAAUGAAAUAUUUCACAUUUGUGAUAUUAUUAUGCGUUGUUUCCGCAAGUUUGGGUGUGCGUUUGGAAUGCUACACUUGUUCUAAUUGUGGGAAAACCUCCGAUACUUGGGACAAGACAAUCUGCUCGUUGCCCGGCAAAGAGAAUUUCCUUUGUGAACACAAACGACAAAAUGGUGUGGUUGAAAAAAAAUGUGUUUCAAACGAAAGAGCUGAAAUAGAGAAGUGUGAUGCCGUCAAUAAGAAUAAGGACGAUUACUGUUUUUAUUGUGAGAGAGAUCUUUGCAAUGUUAAUUCGGCUCAAAUCCAUAUUGGAUCCGUUAUCGUGCUAUCGCUUGGUGCAAUUAUGAGAUUUGUACUUUGAAAGAUUUAUGACACCAGUAAAAUAUACAACUAACAAUGCUCAAAGUACUUUUUAUCUAUUGUACACUAACUCAGUGAUGUAAAUAAAUAAAACACAUUAAUAAAUUUGUGUUUUCUUGGGUUGAGUUUGGGAUCUGAUGAAAUGUGAAGCUCCUUUAAUAAGAAAAAUAAUAUAUUUCAUAUCAACAAUGAAUCCACUGUCUAUUACAAAAAUUGUAACACUUUGCACUAAAAAAAAACGCUAUCUGAUUCCUCUAAUUAUGACGAUUGUGCUUAGUCAAUAAGUCAAUAAGAAUUUUCGAACAGUGAUGAUAUAUUGAUUUGUGUACACAGUUAUCUAUUUAUCUCACUUCUAAAAAUACUUGUAACACCUGCAAUUUGGGUGGGGUUACAAAACAGAGACACAUUGACAGUUAUUGUAACUCUUGUUUGUAGAAGUGCCAUUUUCUUGCGUUACACUAACUAAGGAACGUGGCAAAAGAAAAAAACUUUUCUAAAAAUAAAAAUUUUUCGUUAUUUUUUAAUUAAUAAUUAAUUGAAGGGCUUAAUAGAUGAAAGAGCUAUGUAACAUUUUUUUGAAAAUUGACUUUUUCACAAAUUUGAAUUAUUUUAAUAACAUUUAAUUAAAAUAUGCUUAACACAUUUGUAUUUUUCUGUAAAAUUUUCAAUUAGUUCUUGCUAAAACCUCAUUUACAAGUACAGUAAAACCUUCCUUAAUAGACACUUCUUCACCACGGACAUCAUUGUAGGGACGAAAGAAAUACAUUAAAACAACCUCUCUACAACGGACUCUCUGUAUACCGGACGUGGGUAGAAAUGGAUGAAAAAAUGUAUACCGAAAAUCGUGAAUUAAAUAUCGAUGAAUGUUUGACGAAAAGAAUGAUGAAGACGAUAGUUAUAAAGAGAAAACUUGCUUUAGCACCACGCUGACUAAAUAUUUUAAAGUUUUCUUUAUAAAAAUAUUUUUGCUGAUGUUUUAAAUUUGAAUAUCUCUCCACAACGGACAGUUAAAAGAUUUCUCAUCGCUGUCCGUUGUUAAGAGGUUUUACUGUAUUAUAGAUGUUCCUGCAUAAUAUAAAAAUAAAUUAACCCUUUGUAUAUGUUUUUUUAUUUCAAAAAGUAUUUAUGAAUAAAAAAGUGACGUACACAUUUAACUUAAUUCUACUGGAAUUUCCUUUUUUUUGUUUAACAAAGUGAAACUUUGUUAUUAUUGUGCCUAAAAAUCGACACAAAUAUUUCGUCCUUCGACUGAUAAUAAAAAGUUAAUACCUAUCAUCUUUUUUAUCAGUAUCUCUGGAAUCUGUUUCAAAAUCUGCUUAACAAGUUGUUGCCGAAACAUUUUAUCCCUUUAUUUUCAAUCAUUAUUCGAAGAAUUAUAAUCAAGUAUUAGUCGUUUUGAUAAUGAUUCACACUAAUUAAAACAAAACAAAAGGUUUUGGACCGAAUUCGCCUAUAAAUAAAAAAGUGUUUCCUCUGUUCACUUAGUACAAAAUGAAGUUUUUCGGCGCAAGUCUCUGCUUCACCUUUUUCCUAAUUUUUUCAAUAGUUGGGGCAAUAAAGGCGGUCAAAUGUUACGAGUGUGUUUAUAAUUGCCAUUCACCGGUAAAUGUGACUUGCCAUGACAAACACAACGACGAUUUUCUCUGUUUUUCGGCAAAGUUUCCUUUAGGUGGAAAAAUGAUGAAUCUCAAAGGAUGUGUCCUAGCCGAUGAUCAGGACUUCAAGGAUAGUUGUACGGCCCUUAACCAGGUUGAAAACGACUCUUGCUAUGUGUGUGGUAGCGAUUUUUGUAAUUUAUUGUAACACACAUUUUUAAAUAAAAAAAUUCAAAAGUCAA